rnacentral:sRNA from 1 species
AUCUGGGCACCCCACCUUUCACAGUCACGGAGCGUAGGUUCGACUUUCCCCAUGCAUAGGGGCGCUGGCCAGCGGAAGGUUGAGGCAGAGAAGAAUUUUUGCCUCCCAUGGAGGAGCACAUAUUGGCUGGCUUAUAAGAUCAUUCAGGAAGCAGGUUGGGCCCGAAGGCAUCCUGCAGAACGGGGCUGUGGACGACAGUGUAGCCAAGACCAGCCAGUUGUUGGCUGAGUUGAACUUCGAGGAAGAUGAAGAAGACACCUAUUACACGAAGGACCUCCCCAUACACGCCUGCAGUUACUGUGGAAUACACGAUCCUGCCUGCGUGGUUUACUGUAAUACCAGCAAGAAGUGGUUCUGCAACGGACGUGGAAAUACUUCUGGCAGCCACAUUGUAAAUCACCUUGUGAGGGCAAAAUGCAAAGAGGUGACCCUGCACAAGGACGGGCCCCUGGGGGAGACAGUCCUGGAGUGCUACAACUGCGGCUGUCGCAACGUCUUCCUCCUCGGCUUCAUCCCGGCCAAAGCUGACUCAGUGGUGGUGCUGCUGUGUAGGCAG